AAACCAUGAUGUAGGCAUUGUCUGAACAUAUUGUUGUAUCUAUCCCGUGCUUCAAAUAAUAAUUCAAAGUUUGACUGUCUGAAGCUUGCUAUUAAAUUUCUCAUAU